AUUGAACGCUGGCGGCAGGCCUAACACAUGCAAGUCGAGCGGGGUUUUCGGACCUAGCGGCGGACGGGUGAGUAAUGCGUAGGAAGCUACCCGAUAGAGGGGGAUACCAGUUGGAAACGACUGUUAAUACCGCAUAAUGUCUACGGACCAAAGUGUGGGACCUUCGGGCCACAUGCUAUCGGAUGCGCCUACGUGGGAUUAGCUCGUUGGUGAGGUAAUGGCUCACCAAGUCGACGAUCCCUAGCUGGUUUGAGAGGAUGAUCAGCCACACUGGAACGGAGACACGGUCCAGACUCCUACGGGAGGCAGCAGUUGGGAAUAUUGGACAAUGGGCGCAAGCCUGAUCCAGCCAUGCCGCGUGUGUGAAGAAGGCCUUCGGGUUGUAAAGCACUUUCAGUAGGGAGGAAGCGUUGUGUGUUAAUAGUACAUAGCGUUGACGUUACCUACAGAAGAAGCACCGGCUAACUCUGUGCCAGCAGCCGCCGUAAAAC
rnacentral:rRNA from 1 species